CCAGACUCCUACGGGAGGCAGCAGUGAGGAAUAUUGGUCAAUGGCCGAGAGGCUGAACCAGCCAAGUCGCGUGAGGGAUGACGGCCCUACGGGUUGUAAACCUCUUUUGUCGGGGAGCAAAGAGAGUCACGUGUGGCUCAUUGAGAGUACCCGAAGAAAAAGCAUCGGCUAACUACGUGCCAGCAGCCGCGGUAAUACGUAGGGGGCAAGCGUUAUCCGGAUUUACUGGGUGUAAAGGGAGCGUAGACGGUUAAGUAAGUCUGGAGUGAAAGGCCGGGGCCCAACCCCGGGACUGCUCUGGAAACUAUUGAACUUGAGUGCAGGAGAGGGAAGCGGAAUUCCUAGUGUAGCGGUGAAAUGCGUAGAUAUUAGGAGGAACACCAGUGGCGAAGGCGGCGUACUGGACUGUAACUGACGUUGAGGCUCGAAAGCGUGGGGAGCAAACAGGAUUAGAUACCCCCGUACGC
rnacentral:rRNA from 1 species